GGGGUGGGGGCUCAGCGGUACAGCACUUGCCUAGCACGUGCGAGGCCCUGGGUUCAAUCCUCAGUACCACA
rnacentral:tRNA from 1 species